UCAGGCUUAUGUUGGUACCUAAAAUCACAUAUCUUUUGCUAGUGAGUUUGUGCUUUCUAAUCCGAGCAUCUCUUGUUCUUUACCUCCUCUUCUCACUAACAUAGAGACAAACUCCCCAUCUCUUGACAAGGUAGAAAAAAUUAUCAGGCUUAUGUUGGUGCCUAAAAUCACAUUAUCUUUUGCUAGUGAGUUUGUGCUUUCUAAUCCGAGCAUCUCUUCUUUACCUCCUCUUCUCACUAACAAAGAAACAAACUCACCAUUUCUUAACAUAGAAGAAAAAAAUGGGUUAUGCUUGUACCUAAAAUCAUGUCUCUAUUGAUAACAAGUUUGACCUUUCUAGUCCGAGCAAGUGUUGUGUGGCCCAAGGCUCAGCAGCGUAAAAACCAGACCCUUUCAAGACACUCCGGCGCACCGAUAACGUUCUUUCCGUAAGGGUGAGAAGAUAUACAUUUGUAGGCAUCAUGAUUAGUUACCGCCAGACCACUUGACCAUGUGCCCUCUGUCCCUUGCCCUCUCUACAUUGAGGAAUGUUACCGUUGUUAUGUUGUCUGUUUUGGGUAAGAGAGAAAGGACAGCAGUGAGGGCAACUGCUCAGCCAGACUACAUCACUUCCGAGAAACAACUUCUGGUAAGGCCUUUUGCUACCUCAUUAACUUCCAAUCAACCUGUUACUGUGACUCCAGCCCGGGCAGCGAGGUAACAGUGUGAUCCUAGCUAUUAUCAACAAAGACCUCACACACGUUACCCAAAACAGACAAUGUAACAGUGGUAACAAGCAUCAACCUCAAGCCCAACCUCUUUUUACAUAGCCACGCUCGUAAACAAACUGCCUGAUUAAUAUUUUUCUAGACUUCGGGAAUUUGGAAAAAAAAUGUCUUUCUCACUCGGUUUAUGAUAUGGGAAGAAAUGUUAACCGUGUAGCAGCGACGGGCCAAAUUUGUGCCAUGAUAUAACCCCCCAAAAAAUACAUGAUACAUAAUCUGAUCACAAAUGCUUUGAUAUAUAGUAUUAUGAAAUGGUUUGUAUGAGGGGUGAUUUUUUCUCAUUUUUCUCGCUUAGAGGGACCAUUAAGAAACAUGAUCCCCGCUGCUACCGGAUUAAGGCAAAUUUUAGUAGAACACUCCCACCUGCAAUGACAAAGAUGACAACUAUAUGAAAA